AACGAACGCUGGCGGCAUGCCUAACACAUGCAAGUCGAACGAGACCUUCGGGUCUAGUGGCGCACGGGUGCGUAACGCGUGGGAACCUGCCCUUAGGUUCGGAAUAACUCCCCGAAAGGGGUGCUAAUACCGGAUAAUGUCUUCGGACCAAAGAUUUAUCGCCUUUGGAUGGGCCCGCGUUGGAUUAGCUAGUUGGUAGGGUAAAAGCCUACCAAGGCGACGAUCCAUAGCUGGUCUGAGAGGAUGAUCAGCCACACUGGGACUGAGACACAGCCCAGACUCCUACGGGAGGCAGCAGUGGGGAAUAUUGGACAAUGGGCGAAAGCCUGAUCCAGCAAUGCCGCGUGAGUGAUGAAGGCCUUAGGGUUGUAAAGCUCUUUUACCCGGGAUGAUAAUGACAGUACCGGGAGAAUAAGCUCCGGCUAACUCCGUGC
rnacentral:rRNA from 1 species